GGAGGGUGCAAGCGUUGCUCGGAAUUAUUGGGCGUAAAGCGCGUGUAGGCGGCUAUCUAAGUCUGGUGUGAAAGCCCUGGGCUCAACCCGGGAAGUGCACUGGAUACUGGAUAGCUAGAGGACGAGAGAGGAGAGUGGAAUUCCUGGUGUAGGGGUGAAAUCCGUAGAUAUCAGGAGGAACAUCAGUGGCGAAGGCGGCUCUCUGGCUCGUAUCUGACGCUGAGACGCGAAAGCGUGGGGAGCAAACAGGAUUAGAUACCCUGGUAGUCCACGCCCUAAACGAUGGAUACUAGUUGUCGGGAUUCCUAAUUGUCUCGGUAACGAAGCUAACGCAUUAAGUAUCCCGCCUGGGAAGUACGGUCGCAAGAUUA
rnacentral:rRNA from 1 species